GAUUUAUCACUUUUAUACCUAAUAAUUGUAUUUAGAAAAAAAGAAAAGAAAAGAGAGGAGCGCAUACACAUACCUGGGCAGACGAAUGGAAGAGGGAAACUUCGAACUCAUAGAUCAGAUUGGGAAUAUCCUGAAACUUUACGAAAGGGAAAUGCGAAAUUUUGAGGAUUCGUGACAUGUGUUCGGCAUUCAAGAUUCGAUUCCUAAUACGAGCACCUCUCGUGGAGCUUUUUUUGAGUCCGAGCUUGGAGUAUUUUGGAGUUGUGGUGAGUUGCUUGGUUGUUCCGCAGCCCAUACCUCCCUCUAUUUUAUGGUUUAUUUUGUUUCUUCGUAUUUAAACGUGAUAUCUCUUAUGUUUAGGCUUUUCAUUUUAGUUUUAGACUUGCACCGUAUUUUAGAAGUUCUUGUACUUAUGACACCAAGUCUUGGGUGGUAUUUUAGUUUUCC